AAGUCGUAACAAGGUUUCCGUAGGUGAACCUGCGGAAGGAUCAUUAAUAGUGCCCUCUGAUGCAAAUCAUUGGGUUAGAUCUGCUCUCUUCGCAAGAAGAGGGUUUCCAUACACACCGUGAACUGUGGCUUCGGCCAUCACAAACUGUUAGUAAUGAAUGUAAUAUCAUAACAAAAACAAAACUUUUAACAACGGAUCUCUUGGCUCUC
rnacentral:misc_RNA from 1 species